rnacentral:rRNA from 1 species
GAUGAACGCUGGCGGCGUGCCUAAUACAUGCCAGUCGAGCGAACAGACGAGGAGCUUUCUCCUCUGACGUUAGCGGCGGACGGGUGAGUAACACGUGGAUAACCUACCUAUAAGACUGGGAUAACUUCGGGAAACCGGAGCUAAUACCGGAUAAUAUAUUGAACCGCAUGGUUCAAUAGUGAAAGACGGUUUUGCUGUCACUUAUAGAUGGAUCCGCGCCGCAUUAGCUAGUUGGUAAGGUAACGGCUUACCAAGGCGACGAUGCGUAGCCGACCUGAGAGGGUGAUCGGCCACACUGGAACUGAGACACGGUCCAGACUCCUACGGGAGGCAGCAGUAGGGAAUCUUCCGCAAUGGGCGAUAGCCUGACGGAGCAACGCCGCGUGAGUGAUGAAGGUCUUCGGAUCGUAAAACUCUGUUAUUAGGAAAGAACAAAUGUGUAAGUAACUAUGCACGUCUUGACGGUACCUAAUCAGAAAGCCACGGCUAACUACGUG